GUGAAGGGUAUACGGUGGAUGCCUUGGCUUAUGCAUGCGAUGAAGGACGUGACUAAUCUGCGAAAUUCUUCGGGGAGGCGAUUUGUAGCCUUUGAUCCGGAGGUGUCCGAAUGGGGAAACCCGAUCUGUAUAGAUCAUCUUUCUGUUUAUCAGAAAGAAGCGAACCUGGGGAAGUGAAACAUCUCAGUACCCAGAGGAAUAGAAAACAACAGCGAGUUGUUUUCUGUCUGCUCGAUGCUUCGAGCGGAUGGAAAACAACUCUCGUGAUUCCCUAAGUAGCGGCGAGCGAAACGGGAGAAGCCCAAACCAGAUACUUCGGUAUGUGGGGUUGUAAGACGGAAGUACCGUACUUGUACGGCAAGAGUUACAAAAGAUAUAUAUAACGGAAGCUGCUGGGAAGCAGCGCCCUAGAGGGUAAUGGCCCCGUACGUGAAAUGUAGAUCUCUCUUGUGCUUCUGUUCUUGAGUAGUUCGAGACAUGAAUAGCUCGGAUGAAUCUGCCGGAACUAACCGGUAAGGCUAAAUACUGCAUAAGACCGAUAGUGAACUAGUACCGUGAGGGAAAGGUGAAAAGAACCCCGAAAGGGGAGUGAAAUAGAACUGAAACCGUAUACUUACAAAGGGUUAUGGGGGGCGUUCGCGUCCUUUAUAGCGUGCCUAUUGAAGAAUGAGCCUGCGAGUGUAUGUAUGUUGCUUGGCUAAGUCCGUUAUGGGACGAAGCCCUAGGGAAACCGAGUGUUAAUAGCGCGUCCGUAUCAUACAUACGACCCGAAGCCGGGUGAGCUUACCAUGGACAGGUUGAAGUUUGUCGAAAGACAGAUGGAGGACCGAACCCGUACGUCGUACAACGCGUUGGGAUGAUCUGUGGUAAGGAGUGAAAAGCUAAUCGAACCCGGUAAUAGCUGGUUCUCUCUGAAACAUCUUUUGGGAUGGCGUCGUGUGAUCCUUCCGGGGGUAGAGCACUGGAAGGGGUAAACAGGGAGAAAUCUCGUUACUCCUAUCAACCUCCGAAUACCGGAAAUUACAACACGGCAGUUAGACCAUGGGGGCGAAGCUCCAUUGGUCAAAAGGGGAAGAGCCCGGAUCGUCAGUUAAGGCCCCUAAAUCGACACUGAGUACAACUUAAGGAAGUGAGGAUCCUUCGACAAUGAGGAUGUUGGCUUAGAAGCAGCCAUCAUUUAAAGAUAGCGUAACAGCUCACUCAUCGAGGGUCCUUGCGCCGAAGAUAAUCGGGGUUAAGUGUCGUGCCGAAGCUACGGGUUUGUGCACUUCAUAGAGGAGGAUGAUUUUUUCAUAUCUUCUGUGAAGUGCACAAGCGGUAAGAGAGCGUUCCGUUCUGCGAUGAAGGAAAAGGGGUGACCCAUUCUGGAGCGUACGGAAGUGAGAAUGCAGGUACAAGUAACCACAAUGCGGGUGAGAACCCCGCACGUCGAAAGAUCAAGGUUUCCUCAGCUAUGGUGAUCAACUGAGGGUUAGUCGGGCCUAAGGGGAUGGUGAAAACCGCACCCGAUGGACACAGGGUUAAUAUUCCCUGACCGUUUGCACAUGCGAUGGAGAGACGGACUGCUGUAUGUAGUGCCCAUUAUUGGAUUUGGGUCAGUGCCGUGAGGGGGUGUCUUAGGUAAAUCCGGGACGCAUAUACUCCGAGCGGAAAAGCAACAUCCUUCUACGGAGGGGUGGAGACUACGGAGCGCGGUUCCAAGAAAAUCUUCUAAGCUUCAGUGUGUAACGUCCGUACCGCAAACCGACACAGGUGAUCAGCUCGAGUAGAGUAAGACGAACGAGUGAGAGGUCCUCAAGGAACUCGGCAAAAUAGCGGCCGUAAGUUAGCGAUAAGGCCUGCCCCUCUCCGGAGGGGCCGCAGCGAAAGAUUUUCUGGCAACUGUUUACCAAAAACACAGCUCCCUGCGAACUCGUAAGAGGAUGUAUAGGGGGUGACGCCUGACCAAUGCCGGAAGGUCAAGCAGGGACGGUACAUUGAUUUCGAUUGAUGUGCUAGGCCCUAUAAGCCCCGGUGAAUGUCGGCGAUAACUAUAAUCGUCCUAAGGUUCUGGGUUGGAGCAAUCCUGCCCAGAACGGAUUGGGACGAUUAUAGGAGACCGUAAACAGCUCUGAGAAGAGUACGUCAUUAAUAGCUACCUCUUUCUUUGGAAACAAAGAUUGAAUCCGCGACUCAUAUGAGAGGCCAUACGUCGUGCACCAUGCAAAUGGUUGAAGAUAUGGUCCUUCUUGGAGGAAUAGAAGAGCGUAAUUCCUUGUCUGGUAAGUUCAGACGUGCACGAAUGGCGUAAUGACUGGAAAACUGUCUCGAGGACUCGCUCGGUGAAAAUGCAAUACCGGUGAAGAUGCCGGUUACCUGUAGUUAGACGAAAAGACCCCAGGAGCUUUACUACAGCUUCGUAUUGGGGCUGCGUGGUGCCUGCGUAGAAUAGGUGGGAGGCUUUGAAGCAUUCCUUUCGGGGAGUGUGGAGCCGCCAGUGAAAUACCACUCUUGCAUUGUGCAGUCUCUAACCCUCGUAAGAACUACGAGGGGACCGUGCGUGGCGGGUAGUUUUGGUGGGGCGCUAUCCUCCUAAAAAGUAACGGAGGAGUCUAUUAAGGUUGGCUAGGCGCGAAUGGAAACCGUGCCGAUAGUGUAAUGGCAGAAGCCAGCUUAACUGCAAGACGUACAUGUCGAGCAGAUGCGAAAGCAGAGCAUAGUGAUCCGAUGGUUCGCCUUAGAUGCGGCCAGAGCUCAACGGAUAAAAGUUACCCUGGGGAUAACAGGCUAGUUCCGCCCAAGCGUCCAUAGCGACGGCGGAGUUCGGCACCUCGAUGUCGGCUCACCUUAGCGCGGGGCUGGAGAAAACAUACCUUCUCUCCUCAUUGGAAACGAUGAGGUAAUUAAACAAGCUCAAAACGGUGAAGGCUGACUUAUGCAAGCGACCUUAUGUUUCGGAGGUCCCAGGUUUAGUGUUAAACUUGAUGUAUGAGAGCUAACGCCGUGGGAAAGAAGUGUUCUGAAGUAGAGCGAGCAUAUAUAGCUGGAUUUUUGGAUGCCGAUGGAGCCAUUAUGGCUCUUAUCGAACCGCAUUCAGAAAAACAGUAUAAGUUUCGAGUUCGCGUUGCGAUUAAAAUAACGCAACAGGACAGGAAAGUCUUAGAUUGGAUACGUACAGUACUUGCGGUUGGAAUCGUUCGUGCAAAUCGCGCUGGCACUAGUCGCCAGACGUUUGAUCUGCACAUUCGUGAUCAAGCGCACGUACAGAAAAUUCUGACAAGUCUCUUACCAUUUAUCCGUGUCAAAAAACGACAAGCAGAAAUGGCUCUUGAGAUUGUGAAUUCAAAAAUCAUCACGUCAGAAGAUCUACUCAAAAAUGCCCGUAUCGCCGACGCUUUGUCGCAGUUGAACGUUCGGUCCAAGAAUCGGCGUAAAAACUUUGUGGCAAAGGUCGAAGAAUAUCUCUCCCCUAACGACUGAGCACGAUUCUUUUGGGAAUCGUGCGAGAUAUGCCCACUGUAGUGGGGUAUAACACGGCUUGCACCUAAAACUGUAAUGGUGACAUUACAAACAUGGUGAUGGAAUAGUCUGAUACUUGUCGGAAGGCAAGAACAACAAAGAAUUGAGGUCCCAAGCGUUUGGCUGUUCGCCAAUUAAAAAGGUACGCGAGCUGGGUUCAGACCGUGUAGGAAUAGAGUCGCAGAAUUUAUUUUGCGGAAUCGAUUCUUACACCGUCUGAAUCCCUUUGAGAUAUCUGUUUAUCAGAACUUAAUAAAGUGCGAAGUGAAUGUCUUUUCGUCUAUGAAAUUAUGAUAGAACCAACAACCAUCACGGCGAUGUGCUACAGGAAUGUAGUACGUACCAUCAACUAAUAUCGGUGAAACCCUCCCCAUUAAUUUGGCGGGCAACACCGAGGGAAGCUGAGAAAAUCUCGGUACCCGUAGAGACUACACGUUGAUCAUCCGACCAUUUAAUUUAUUUGAGGAUGAAGAUAUAGUCCGACCCUCCGAGUAAUCGAAGUUAACAAAGUGCGUGAGACAGGUUGGUCUCCUAUCUACUACAGGCGUUGAUUCUUGAGGAGGGUUGCCCCUAGUACGAGAGGACCGGGGUGAACUGACCUCUGGUCUACCAGCUGUUUUGCCAAAAGCAUCGCUGGGUAGCUAUGUCGGGUCGGGAUAACUGCUGAAAGCAUAUAAGCGGGAAGCCCACUCCAAGAUUAGGAAUCGUUAUGAGACACCUUAAAGAUUAUGAGGUUGAUAGGCUUUAGAUGUACGCACAGUAAUGUGUUCAGUCGAGAAGUACUAAUAUGUCCAGUUUU
rnacentral:rRNA from 1 species